AGAGGAACGCAUUUAUUAGAUAAAAAGCCAAUGCAUGCUUUUACAGUAUGGAAAUUGGUGAUUUAUAAUAACUUAGCAAAUCGCAAAGUGAAAACAGGCGAUAAAUCAUUCAAGUUUCUGACCUAUCAGCUUUCGACGGUAUGGUAUUGGCUUACCGUGGCAGUGACGGUUAACGGGGGAUUAGGGUUCGAUUCCGGAGAGGGAGCCUGAGAAACGGCUACCACAUCUAAGGAAGGCAGCAGGCGCGCAAAUUACCCAAUUCUAACAGUUUGAGAGAGGUAGUAACAAGAAAUAACAAUACAAGGCAAUUAAAAUGCUUUGUAAUUGGAAUGAUAGAAAUUUAAACCCUUUUUAAAGUAUCAAUUGGAGGGCAAGUCUGGUGCCAGCAGCCGCGGUAAUUCCAGCUCCAAUAGCGUAUAUUAAAAUUGUUGCAGUUAAAAAGCUCGUAGUUGAAGUUCUGCUAAAAGUAACCGGUCUGCUUUUAAUAAAAGUGGUAUCUUGGUGUGUAUUUAGCAAUGAUGUCCUUUGAAGUGUUUUUUACUUUAUUGUAAUAAAGCAUAUUCAGGACUUUUACUUUGAGAAAAUUAGAGUGUUUCUAGCAGGCCGACGCUUUGAAUACUGCAGCAUGGAAUAAAUAAGAA
rnacentral:rRNA from 1 species